GAAACCCAGGCUAAUACCGCAUACGCCCUUCGGGGGAAAGGCUUCGGCCGCUAUUAGAUGAGCCUAUGUCUGAUUAGCUUGUUGGUGGGGUAAUGGCCUACCAAGGCGACGAUCAGUAGCUGGUCUGAGAGGACGAUCAGCCACACUGGGACUGAGACACGGCCCAGACUCCUACGGGAGGCAGCAGUGGGGAAUAUUGGACAAUGGGCGAAAGCCUGAUCCAGCAAUGCCGCGUGUGUGAAGAAGGCCUGCGGGUUGUAAAGCACUUUCAGAUGGGAAGAUAAUGACGGUACCAUCAGAAGAAGCACCGGCUAACUCUGUGCCAGCAGCCGCGGUAAUACAGAGGGUGCAAGCGUUAAUCGGAAUUACUGGGCGUAAAGCGCGCGUAGGCGGUUUGUUAAGUCGGAUGUGAAAGCCCCGGGCUCAACCUGGGAACUGCAUUCGAAACUGGCAGGCUAGAGUAUGGUAGAGGGAAGUGGAAUUCCGGGUGUAGCGGUGAAAUGCGUAGAUAUCCGGAGGAACAUCAGUGGCGAA
rnacentral:rRNA from 1 species